CUAGUAUGAGGGUACCCUGCUACAGCAGCACUGAAGAUACAGAAACUAAGAUUUCAGCAAGUGAUAUACUGAGAGGAGAACAGGAAUCAAAUCUUGUAAAAGGAUGUUCUUGUAAAUACUUGUCCUGUGUCUUCACUGGGUUGAGAGAAGACAGAUGACAGAAGAUUUGGGACAGUAGCCUGUGGUGCUCCUAGAGAUAGAUCCAACUGCCUGUAGCCAGUAUGAUAGAGUGACGAUGCAGAAGAAGUCUUACCUGCUGCACUGGCAGAAUUUCAGGAUGAUGAACCCCUCCUUUCUCCAGACCUGUGCAGGAAUCUGCCACUGGUAGGCCCUGUAUUGAGAAGCACGUUUCUGUUGC
rnacentral:lncRNA from 1 species